GUGCUCGCUUCAGCAGCACUUAUACUAAAAUUGGAAUGACACAGAGAAGAUUAGCAUGGCCCCUGCGCAACGAUGACACACAAAUUCGCAAAACAUAUCAUAUUCUU
rnacentral:snRNA from 1 species